UACGUAGGGGGCGAGCGUUGUCCGGAUUUAUUGGGCGUAAAGAGCGUGUAGGCGGUUCGGUAAGUCUGUCGUGAAAUCCUGAGGCUCAACCUCGGGCGUGCGAUGGAUACUGCCGGGCUAGAGGGUGGUAGAGGCGAGUGGAAUUCCCGGUGUAGCGGUGAAAUGCGCAGAUAUCGGGAGGAACACCAAUGGCGAAGGCAGCUCGCUGGGACGGUACUGACGCUGAGACGCGAAAGCGUGGGGAGCAAACAGG
rnacentral:rRNA from 1 species